GGGGUCGUUUGGAUUUGACAGCAAAUACUUUGAGAUGUAAGCAUGCAGCGCCUUGUACGGCUGGCGCUCUAAUAACCGACGUGCAAGCCUUAACUGGCGAAACAACUUAUGCACUCGCUGCGUAGAAUUGCUGAGCAAUUCUUGCUUAAUCCGCUACCGUAGAGUGGUAGCCGACGAGUAUCCCGCCUGUGUUUCCGCCCAUAAAUGCAGGCAUUAUGGGGUAUCGUAAUUUGGGAUAGUCUUGUUUGAUUCCUUUGAAACGAGGCGAAAUAAUAAAGGAUAAGGACUAUGGUUGUUAGCGUUGCAACUGCCAUUGUCCCGAAAAUAAAGCAACGAUAAGCAUGUAGAAGGCAUUUUGUUGGUUUGUUUGGACGCGGGUUCGACUCCCGCCGACUCCAC
rnacentral:tmRNA from 1 species